rnacentral:lncRNA from 10 species
AAAGAACCUAUGUUGAAAUAUUGGGGGUGGGUUCCCCCGAUAUCUGGCCCCUAUCGGGUUCCCCCGAUAGUUCUAUCUAAAUUUUUAUCUGAAAAAUAAGUUUCUCUGCUUUAAAAAAGAAACUUUGAAGACCAUUUUACAGAAGAAUUGGUUUGCCAAGGUGGAAAGAGAAGCUCAUCAGUGACGUGACUUAGCCAAAAGCACUGGUUAUACCUCUAUACCUCGGAGCCGACACUGAAAGCCCCGGCCAUAGUCUUUCUGCCCCAAGGAAAGCCUGGGGUGGGGGUGGGUGAUAUUGUCAAGAGCCAGGCCCCAGCUCCUCAUACACACAGCUCAUUUGCUCUCCCUCCCAACCCCCACCUUCAUACUUCUUCCACACGCAUACCAAAGAAAAUAAGAAUCUCAAGGUUGGAAAAUCCCACUUUACUUCAAGUGAAGUCACUGGGUUGUCCCCAUGAAAUAUCUCCACAAUGGGUGUGCUAGACCUUUACUCUCUGUGGCACCACCAAGACCCCCUCACCCUGCCAGAGCCCUCUGAAGUGUACUCAGAAUGGAGGGGCUGGAAGUGGGGCCAGUGGUCCUGGUAGUCAGCCUCCCCUUCUGACACAAGAAUUAUCGUGGAACAGCUUGUGUGACCGAUCAACUGGUCUCUCCAUCUUUAAGCCAUUGUCUUGUUGACUCUGUUACUGCAGAGUUUGGGGAGGUCUCAUGGCUUCUCGCAUCCUAUUUCCUGAGCUUCCCUGAAGCCAACUUCUGGCCACUGGUAUGUGAUGCGAGCACAGUGCCUCCUCCUGCUCCUCCAGGAAGCUUCUGCUGAUUGAACGCAGGCCAGAUGGCGAGAUCCGGAGCAACCUUCUUAGAUCAAGGGAAGAAAGGGGCACAAGAGGGGAGUAGGUAACAAGAUAAAAGGAGCUCCCUCCCUGAUGACUACAGAGCCAUCGUGGCAGCCCUGGGCCUCCAUUUCAGACGUUCAUCUUGCCUAAGCCACCACCAUCAGGGUCUCAGUCAGUCAUCAUUCUCAUUUACUCGGGUGGCUGGGUGAGGGCGGAAUACUACCUUCCAGCUGUCUGAGAUUAAGCCUAAGCCACCACCAUCAGGGUCUCAGUCAGUCAUCAUUCUCAUUUACUCGGGUGGCUGGGCGAGGGCGGAAUACUACCUUCCAGCUGUCUGAGAUUAAGCAGAACAGCAGCUAAAGCAGUAACAGCAGGUCUCCUUCAGCAGCUUGCCACAGGGAAGAGGGUCCCGCGUGAACCGAACUCAACUUCCACCUGCGCAGAGGUAGCUACCAUUUGCGUAGAGGUAGCUGGGUCUUUAAGGUUAGAGGGAAGGCGCAGGGAGGGAGAGACGGCGGGUGGGGGUUGAACAAAGUGGAGAUUCACAAAAGCAGACUAGGGCGGGCGACGUGAUCAGAUGACCUGUGCGGGCGGCAGCCUCCUGCCCUCCUCCCCUUCGUGCGCCGGCUGGAGCGAAGAGUUCUUUUGACAGCCGUGAGCUUCCCCGCCAGGAACUUACUGGGGCUGCAUCACCCUAGAAACGUGGCUUUGGGCUGUGGAAACGCUGCCUCUGUGGAAGUCUCUCCUCGCGGGGGUGGACGGGUCGCUGCGCGCCCAGCGUUCUUCUGCGGUUCUCACAGCCCGCCGCCGCCGCCGCCUCGGGGACCUUUGCGGGGAGGCCUCAGGGCACCUUCCUCCUCUCUCUCAGGCACGUCCUCGACCUCAGUUGCCACGUGCACAUGCUGGUGCCUUCCAGGUCGGUCUUUCUCCACCAGACUCCACCUGGAACUUUCUUCCUUUUCGUCCUGUGCUGGCCUAACCCCUGCUCGGCCUCGGCCCUCAGCUGCCGGCUCUAACAAAGCCUCUGUCUUUCCCAGACCCCUGUGACCAGGUCAGGCUCUGCUCCCUGCGUUCCUCUCUCCUUGCUUCCCUCCUCCUCCCCUCCCCAGAAUCGCUUGAACCUGGGAGGCAGACGUUGCAGUGAGCUGAGAUCGCACCAUUGCACUCCAGCCUGGGUGACAAGAGCGAGACUCCAUCUCAAAACAAAAAACAAAAAACACAACUCUUGCUGGCUCCUUGAUUUUAGCCCAGUGAGAUUCACUUCUAAUUUCUUUUUUUCUUUGAGACAGUCUGUUCUGUCACCCAGGCUGGAGUGCAGUGGCGUAAUCAUGGCUCACUGCAGCCUCAACCUUCCUGGACUCAAGUGAACCUUCCACCUCAGCCUCCCAGGUAGCCGGGACUACAGGGGUGCACCAGCAUGCCUGGCUAAUUUUUGCAUUUUUUGUAGAGAUGGGGUUUCACUAUGUUGCCCAGGCUGGUCUGAAACUCCUGUGCCCCAGCAGUCCUCCUGCCUUGGUCUCCCAAAGUUCUGAGAUUACAGGCAUGAGCCACUGCGCCUGGGCUUCCAUUUCUGAUUUCCAAAACUCUAGGAUAAUAAAUUUACAUUGUUUUAAGCCACCAAAUUGUAGUAAUCUGUUACAGCAGCAAUAAGAAAUGAAUACAGCCAUGCUUGAUAAUUCCUUUAUCAAAAGCUACCUAUUGGUGUUAGGAAGUAUUGUUUUAAAUUCUAAGACAGUGUUUUCACUUUCUAUCUUGUGCACUGACUACCUCAUGACCCCUUAGGUACCAGUCAGGACUGGUAGACUUUAAUGUGGAGAACUUCUGAAACAGCAGUUCUCAAAAUGUUACCUCCAGACACACAGAAUCUGCAUCACCCAGGAACUUGUAACCAUGCAAAUUCUCAGCCACCCAGACUUCCUGCAUCAGAAACUCUGGGGCCCAGCAGCCUGUGUUUUAACAAAGCCCUUCAGGCUGGAGUAUAGUGGCAUGAUCAUAGAUCACUGCAGCCUCAAACUCCUGGGCUCAAGCGAUCCUCCCACCUCAGCCUCCAUAUAGCUGGUGGGGACCAAGUUUCUAACACAUGAAUGUUGGGAGACACAUUCAGACCAUCGCAGUGGCCUUAUAAAAAGAGACACAAGAGCUUGCUCUCUGCCAUGUGAGAAUACCACAAGAAGACUGUCCUCAGCAAAUCAGAAAGCGGGUGGACCCUCAUCAGACACCAGAUGUGCCUGCACCUUGAUCUUGGACUUGCCAGCCUUCAGAACAGUAAGAAAGAAAUGUGUGUUGUUUAAGCCACCCAGUCUAUGGUAACUUGCUAUAGCAGCCCACUAGGAGACCCCAAGAUAUUUAAAAACUCAUCAGCACCUGCUUUCUGCAUCUGGACCCUGAUCUUCUGGUGGGUUUACCAGUUACUUGUAGAGUGUCCCUGUGAUAGUUUUAGGUGUCAACUUGACAGGAUUGAGGGAUGCCUAGAUGGCUGGGGAAGCACUGUUUCUGAGAAGGACCAUGUUUUUGGAGGAGACUGUUUUAUGAGUGAAUUUCAGGGGACACAUUCAGAUCAUGGCAGUGGCAUUAUAAAGAGAGACACAAAAGCUUGCUCUCUCUCUCUGCCAUGUAAGACUACCACACAAAGACUGCCAUCUGCAAACCAGAAGCAGGUGGGCUUUCCUCAGACACCAGAUCUGCCUGCACCUUGAUCUUGGACUUGCCAGCCUUCAGAACUCUAAGAAAGAAAUGGUAGCAUGGCUUGGUCUAAGUUGGAAGGCCUGAGAAACAAGCACAUGGUGGAACUGAGUUCAAGGAUAAAGACUUGAGAAUACCUGCUCAGUGGACUGAGUAGGGAAGAUCAACCCUCAAUGUAGGCAGGCACUAUCCAAUCACCUGAGGGCCCAGAUGGAACAAAAAGGUGGAAGAAGGGUGAAUUCUCUCUUCCAGAGCUGUGACACCCUUCUCAUGCCCUUGUACCACACAACUCUAGGUCCUUUGGCCUUUGGACUCUGACACUUGCACCAGUGGCCCUCUGGGGCUCUCAAGCCUUUAGCCUUGAACUUAGUUACACCAUGUGCCUCCUUGUUUCUCAGGCCUUCCAACUUGGAUCAGGCCAUGCCACCGGCUUCUCUGAUUCUCCAGCUUGCAGAUGGUAUAUUGUGACCCUGGCAUUUAAUAACUAUGACUUUGGUCUUAAGCAAUUUUCUUCCUCUGUGGAUUGAUAUUUACAUAUCAAUGUGGAUAAUAAUUUCUUACCACGGUAACUGUUGUGAGGUAAAAAUGAGUUAACAUAAGUAAAACCGAGCACAUGCAAACCAUCCGAAAUGGUUAAUACUUACUAUUUGUACUUGAAGAAAUAAAUGUUUUUGACAAUAAACUUCUUGUGCAGUUUUCCUCAGCCAGUGUCAACUGAGCCGAUCAUUUAUGUGACAGUUUCAUUACCAAAUGGAUGUUCUCACCACUAUUUCAAGUGCAGUAUGAAACUUUAUUUGAAAUUCUAAAAAACUAAUUAAUUAAUUAAGGUUGUUUGGCUCUUGCAGCCUGUAUUAAUUUCCUAGGGCAGCCGUAACAAAGGAGUCACAUACCACAUGACAUUUUGGUCAGCAGCAGGCUGCGUUUCUGACAGUACUCCAUACAAUUAUAACACCAUUAUUUUUACGGUACCUUUUCUAUGGUUAGAUACACAAAUACUUACCGUGUUACAGUUGCCUACAGUAUUCAGAGUACAGUCACAUGCUGUACUGGUUUGCAGCCCCGGCGCAUUAGGCCAUGCCGUGCAGCCUAGCUGUGUAGUAGGCUCUCCUGGCUAGGUUUGUGAGUGUGCCCUCUAUGAUGUUCACACAACGGCCUAACGAUGCAUUUCUCACAACGUAUCCACGUUAAGUGACCCAUGACUAUUCAUUCUACAAACUGAGAAGCUUAAGUAACAGAAAUUUAUUUUCUCACAGACUUGGAAGACAGAAGCCUGAAAUCAAGUUGUUAGUAGGGCCAUUGCCCUCUGAAGGCUCUAGAGGCAAAUCUUUUCUUGCCUCUUUCAGCUUCCGGUGGCUCCCAGCAAUCCCUGACAUUCUUUUCCUUGUAGUAACACAACUCUAAUCCCUACCUCAGUCUUCACACAGUGUUCUCCCCUGUGGGUCUCUCAAUCUCUCACUCCUCAUAAGGACAAGUCUUUGCAUUCAGGGCCCCUCAAAUCCAGUGUGACCUCAUCUUAAUUUGAUUACCUUUGUAAAGAUGCAAUUUCCAAAUAAGGUCACAUUUGUAUGUACUGCGGGUUAGGACUUGAACAUAUAUUUUUAGGGGGCACAAGUGAACCCACAUCAGAGGUCAAGCCACAAAGCAGCCUACAUGGCGAAACCAGUCUUGUCGUGAAAAUGUAAACUGAGGUAAGGGCCAUGCUGCCUUGGAAAGCGUUCUGUGUUGUCAUUCCAGAGCCACGGGGGCUGGAUAGUGACAACAGAGGUGGGUUGCAGAUCUAUGGGCUACUCUUUGCAGAGGCAGUAAGUAGGGACUGCCACAGCAUUCAAUUAAUUUCCUGUAAGAAUACAUUUUAUUCAAGUUGAUAAAAAAGCUAUACUUAUUAAUAUUGCAUAACAUUCCUGUGCUAUCAAAUGAGAAUCUCCAGAAAUGAAUUUGAAUAGCUAUAAAACCCACAUUUUUCUGCAGAUACAUGUGUAGCCACCUGAGAGCCAGGUCCCUCAGUGUCCACAGACAUAGCCCUGCCACCUACCGCCUGCUUCCCAGAGCAAUGAAGCUUCUGCUAACUCAGGCUUAUCCCAGUCUCUAUUUCAGGCCAUCAGCUGGAUGAAGAAUUAAUUUAGUAAGCAUGAAACAGCUUGCAAAGCAUUGGUGAGUGGCUGAGGGCCAUGAAACGAGACCACCGUGUGGCCCAUCUCUGAAGAUGAAUCCAACAGCAGUGACUCUACCUGCGUCCUCCCCAUCUUUUCUGCUUUUUCAUACAAUGGCUUAUUCACUGCGUGUGACAUCAUCACUAGCACUGUGUUUAUCUAUCACAUUUCUUCUGUUUUGUGGGUUUGUUUUGCAUUAAAGGUCUACUUCUCUGAGCUUUGAGCUGUAAGGCUUGACUGUGAGCAGCAACUGAAGAGUGUGGCACCUCACACUCGGUAGGAAGAAGCUGAAUGACAGAUGUCGGCAGUGAGGGUGGGGAAAGCAGCCAGGUACCAAGCAGCUGUUUUUUAGGCUAACCAUUGAAGGGAAGCUCCUAAUCCCUGAGUUAACUUUUAGCAGAGAUUAACUCAGUCUAUCUAUUGGGAUGUAAAGGAUUUGGGCAUAAAGGUAUGUUAAUUCGGAGGCUCUGGAAUGUAUAACAAUUUCUCCCAUUGAAAUUUAUGAUAAUUAAGUGUUCAACUUACUGGAAUUUUCCCCACAAGACUCUUCUGGGAUGAAUUUGCCUUGGGGAGAAGACUACGUAACUGAAAACCAGCAUCCAGGCCCUCAAGAAGAAAUAUAAUCUCCAACAGUCUCCUUUUCAAUUUCUGUCAAAUGUCUGGCUUCUCUUGAAGGGAUGUUCACGAGAAGGGACAGCCGCCCUCCUCCGAGCCUCCUGUUUCAGCUGAUGCACCUUCAAGUACAAGGUCCUGUUCUUGGGCUCUGUUAAAGUUUCCCUCAAGAAAAAAACCUUACAUUUGCCAAUGCACUUGAUGUAAAGUUGUUGAGGAUGUUGACUCUCCUUUAAACAUUUAUUGAAGCUAGGAAUAAACUUAACUGGACCUGUGUAUAGGAAAUCUUAAAUUUCUACUAAGAGAUGAAAAAAAGAAUUCCCUUCCCUUCCUUAACAAUUCAGCUCCCGUUACACAAAACCAAACAAGAUGGGAUUCUGUUGUGGGGGGACAGAACUUCAUUGUCCUGAAGCUAGGUGUUGGAGCCCAAGCAGGGUGAGGAGGGAGUCAAGGAGGCCCAUGUGGUGGUGGAGCAUGGCCUGGCAUGGGUCUCAGUGCCCAAGCAAGGUGAAGAGGGGACCAUGCAGGGAGUGAGGGUGUCACUGCCCAAGUGAGGUGAGUAGGGCAAUUUUGAAAAGUCAUGAAAGUUGAGGAAGGGCUGAGGCACCAUUCUAGAUUGAAGGAGACUAAAAAGAUGCAACACUCACAAUGCACAAUUCUAAACUGAAAUCUUUGCUCUAAAGGACAUUAGGACAAUGAAAGAAACUUGCACGGGGUCUGAGCAUUAGGUAGUAGUAAUGAAUUGAUGUUGAGUCCCUAAUUUUCAUGGUUGUAUGCUGAUGAUGUAGGAGGUUCUUGUAGGAAAUACACACUCAAAAGUAUUCUGAGGUGAUGGGGCAUCAUAUCAGAAGCUUAUUCUCAAAUGGUUCAGGAAGGAAAAAGUUUUAUACUAUACUUCUUUGGCAAGUUUAGAUUGUUUCAAAAUAAAAUUUUUUUAAAAAGAGCAUUUGUUAACCAUCAGUUUGGUAAAAGGUGAAAAAUGUUGAUAAUACCUAGUGUUUGUGAAGGUGUGGAGAAACAAAGUUUCAUACACUAUUGUCAAAAGUAUAAAUUGUUACAAUAUUUUUGGAGAGCAAUUUUCCAGUAUGUAGCAAAAAUUUAAAAGCAAAUCUUAACUCAGCAAUUCUGCCUUUAGAAAUGUAUUUGUAGGAUAACAUACAGGAGAGAAAAAUGUAUUUUACUGCAACACUGUUGAUACUAACAAAAACUGGAAACCACCAAAACAUUUAUCAUGAGGGGGUUAAGUAAAGUAUGGUAUAACUAUACAAUGAGUGUACUAGGAAACCCUUAGAAAGAAUGCAGAAAGAUGUAUGUGGACUUUUACAGAAAGGUGAGCUACUGUCUAAAUGCAAAUGUGCCAAUAUCAUGUAUAUACAGUCAGGUUCCUUUUGUUAAAAACCAAAAGCGUAUGUUUAGAAGCAAAAGCACUCAUAUAAAGGCCUGGUAUAGAGCAGUGGCUAAAAACAGUGCCAAGAUACUGCCUCAACUUCCUCUCACAUGCUGCCCUGG